rnacentral:rRNA from 1 species
GAAAGUAAGUAAGGGCGUAUGGGGGAUGCCUAGGCUCUUGGAGGCUAAGAAGGACGUGGUAAGCUGCGAAAAGCUGCGGGGAUUUGCAAACGAGACUCGAUCCGCAGAUAUCCGAAUGGGACAACCCGGCAGGUAGAAGACCUGUCACACCGCGAGGUGAGCUAACCCUCUGAACUGAAACAUCUAAGUAGGAGGAGGAAAAGAAAGAAACAUCGAUUUCCAAAGUAGCGGCGAGCGAAAUGGAAGAAGCCCAAACCGAUAUUGUUACGGCAAUAUCGGGGUUGUAGGACUGCAAUAUUCAAUUAACAAUGAACUGGAAUGGUCUGGAAAGUCCAUCCAUAGAGAGUGAAAGGCUCGUACAGGUAAGUUUGUUAUGCGAUAGCAGUAUCCUGAGUAUGGCGGGACACGAGGAAUCCUGUCAGAAUCAGCCGGGACCACCCGGUAAGGCUAAAUACUCCCAAGAGACCGAUAGUGGACCAGUACUGUGAAGGAAAGGUGAAAAGAACCCCGAACAGGGGAGUGAAAUAGAACCUGAAACCAUACGCUUACAACCGGUCGGAGCAGCUUCGUGCUGUGACGGCGUGCCUAUUGAAUAAUGAGCCUACGAGUUACUAAUCACUGGCGAGGUUAAGUGCACGGAUGCACGGAGCCGAAGCGAAAGCGAGUCUGAACAGGGCGGCUAGUCAGUGGUUGUAGACGCGAAACCUUGCGAUCUACCCUUGAGCAGGUUGAAGGUUGGGUAAAACCAACUGGAGGACCGAACGAAUAAGCGUUGAAAAGCUUCUCGAUGACUUGAGGGUAGGGGUGAAAGGCUAAUCAAGCUGGGAAAUAGCUCGUACUCCCCGAAAUGCCUUUAGGGGCAGCGUUGUAAUAAAGAGUCUACUGGAGGUAGAGCUACUGAUUGGAUGCGGGGGCUUCACCGCCUACCAAAUCCUGACAAACUCCGAAUGCCAGUAGUAUGAUUUACAGCAGUGAGCGACCGGGUGCUAAUGUCCGGUUACGAGAGUGGAACAACACAGACCAGCAACUAAGGUCCCCAAGAGUAUACUAAGUUGAUCUAACGAUGUUUUGUUGCAGAGACAGCUAGGAUGUUAGCUUGGAAGCAGCUAUUCAUUCAAAGAGUGCGUAACAGCUCACUAGUCGAGCGACAAAGCGUGGAUAAUAAACGGGCAUCAAGUAUACCACCGAAGUUCUGGGCACGAAAGUGCGGUAGGGGAGCAUUCCAUUGACGUCGAAGCCAUUCCGCGAGGAUAGGUGGAGUUUAUGGAAAAGCAAAUGUAGGCAUGAGUAACGAUAAUGCGGGAGAGUAACCCGCACACCGCAAGACCAAGGUUUCCUGAUCAACGCUAAUCGGAUCAGGGUUAGUCGGGUCCUAAGGGUAAGCCGAACGGUGAUCUCGAUGGACAAUCGGUUAAUAUUCCGAUACUAACAUAUACCUCGAUGGAGAGACGAAGGAACGUAAGUGCCGCCACCUGACGGAAUAGGUGGUUAAAGGGCGUAGGUAUAGGGGCAGAUUAAGAGUUAGUCCUUGCUGAAACCUGACAGUACAGAGAGCCUACGGGCAAUUUGAUAGAGCACCCAAGUCGACUUCCGAGAAAAUCUUCUAAGUUAUAGUAUAUGUUACCCGUACCGUAAACCGACACAGGUGGUCGAGGAGAGUAUCCUAAGGUGCUCGAGUGAAUCACGGUUAAGGAACUAGGCAAAUUAACCCCGUAACUUCGGGAAAAGGGGUCCCUACGCGAGUAGGGCGCAGCGAAGAGGUCCAGGCGACUGUUUAUCAAAAACACAGGGCUCUGCAAAUUCGAAAGAAGACGUAUAGGGCCUGACACCUGCCCGGUGCUGGAAGGUUAAGAGGGGAUGUCAUCGCAAGAGAAGCAUUGAAUCGAAGCCCCAGUAAACGGCGGCCGUAACUAUAACGGUCCUAAGGUAGCGAAAUUCCUUGUCGGGUAAGUUCCGACCUGCACGAAUGGUGUAACGAUCUGGACACUGUCUCAACCGUGAGCUCGGUGAAAUUGUAGUCCCGGUGAAGAUGCCGGGUACCCGCAACGGGACGAAAAGACCCCGUGAACCUUUACUAUAGCUUAACGCUGAAUUUGGGUACACAAUGUGUAGGAUAGGC